CCUACGGGAGGCAGCAGUAAGGAAUAUUGGUCAAUGGGCGCAAGCCUGAACCAGCCAUGCCGCGUGCAGGAAGACGGCCCUAUGGGUUGUAAACUGCUUUUGAACAAGAGAAAACCUCGGUACGUGUACCGAGCUGAUAGUAUUGUUAGAAUAAGCAUCGGCUAACUUCGUGCCAGCAGCCGCGGUAAGACGAAGGAUGCAAGCGUUAUCCGGAUUCAUUGGGUUUAAAGGGUGCGUAGGCGGCCUGAUAAGUCAGUGGUGAAAUCUCUCAGCUUAACUGAGAAACUGCCAUUGAUACUGUCGGGCUUGAGUACAGAUGAUGUGGGCGGAAUAUGACAUGUAGUGGUGAAAUACUUAGAUAUGUCAUAGAACACCGAUUGCGAAGGCAGCUCACAAAACUGUAACUGACGCUGAGGCACGAAAGUGCGGGGAUCAAACAGGAUUAGAUACCCUGGUAGUCCGCACCGUAAACGAUGAUUACUCGUUGUUGGCAAUAUGACCGUCAGCGACCAAGCGAAAGCGAUAAGAAUCCACCUGGGAGUACGCCGGCAACGGUGAAACUCAAAGUAGAAUUGCGGNGNGAGAGNGACGACGACGACGACGAGGGAGGAG
rnacentral:rRNA from 1 species